GACGAAUGCUGGCUGCGUGCUUAACACAUGCAAGUCGAACGGUGAAGGAGAGCUUGCUCUCCGGAUCAGUGGCGAACGGGUGAGUAACACGUGGGCAACCUGCCCCUCACUCUGGGAUAACGCCGGGAAACCGGCGCUAAUACCGGAUACGACCAGGCGCGACAUCUCGCCUGGUGGAAAGAAUUUCGGUGAGGGAUGGGCCCGCGGCCUAUCAGCUUGUUGGUGGGGUAACGGCCCACCAAGGCGACGACGGGUAGCCGGCCUGAGAGGGCGACCGGCCCCACUGGGACUGGGACACGGCCCAGACUCCUACGGGAGGCAGCAGUGGGGAAUAUUGCGCAAUGGGCGAAAGCCUGACGCAGCGACGCAGCGUGAGGGACGACGGCCUUCGGGUUGUAAACCUCUUUCAGCGGGGACGAAGCGAAAGUGACGGUACCCGCAGAAGAAGCACCGGCUAACUACGUGCCAGCCGCCGCCGUAACAC
rnacentral:rRNA from 1 species